rnacentral:rRNA from 1 species
GACGAACGCUGGCGGCGUGCUUAACACAUGCAAGUCGAGCGGUAAGGCCCUUUCGGGGGUACACGAGCGGCGAACGGGUGAGUAACACGUGGGUGACCUGCCCUCAGCUCUGGGAUAAGCCUGGGAAACCGGGUCUAAUACUGGAUAUGACUCCAUGACGCAUGUUGUGGGGUGGAAAGCCUUGUGCGGCUGAGGAGUGGGCCCGCGACCUAUCAGCUUGUUGGUGGGGUGANGGCCUACCAAGGCGACGACGGGUAGCCGGCCUGAGAGGGCGACCGGCCACACUGGGACUGAGACACGGCCCAGACUCCUACGGGAGGCAGCAGUGGGGAAUCUUGCGCAAGUGGGCGAAAGCCUGACGCAGCGACGCCGCGUGAGGGAUGACGGCCU